rnacentral:rRNA from 1 species
GACGAACGCUGGCGGCGUGCUUAACACAUGCAAGUCGAACGGUGAAGCGCCUUCCUUUUUGGUGGGAGGGGAUGAGCGGCGAACGGGUGAGUAACACGUGAGCAACCUGCCCCCUUCUUCUGGACAACCGCAUGAAAGAGUGGCUAACACGGGAUAUUCUGGGUCUGUCGCAUGAUGGGUCUGGGACAGAUAUUGUGUCGGUGGGGGAUGGGCCCGCGCCGCAUCAGCUAGUUGGUGGGGUAACGGCUUACCAAGGCGACGAUGCCUAGCCGCCCUGAGAGGAGGAUCGGCGACACCGGUGCGGCGGCGCCGCCGCGACUCCUCCGAGAGGCAGCAGCAGUGAAGCUUCUUGAACGGUGGGAAGCCGCCUGGUGCAACGCCGCCGGGUGAAUGAUGGACGUCUUCGGGUUGUGAACUGCUUUCGCGAGAGAAGCAAUCCUGCCUUGUUUGUGCGUGGGUUGACGGUACCUGAAUAAGAAGCGCCGGCUAACUACGUG